rnacentral:lncRNA from 1 species
UCCGAAAUUGAAUCUACCAUUUGAAGUUCAUCUGGUGCCAACAGUGAGUCACUAUUAAAACAUAUAUCAUCUACAAGUAUGAUUUUUGCCAGAUUAACAAAACUCUUCUUGGGGAACAAAUUUAGAUAUAACCAUUUGUAAUCCGGCGAAGUCAUAUGGUAGCACAUUUUUUCGGGAGUACAUUUCGAUAUGGAAUACCUGAUGAUGCAUAAAGCUUUACUGUAUUGUUUUGUCUUAUAGAAAAGCGAUGCUACCAUCAGCCAUCCAGAUACUGCAUCAUGAUACACAUUCUGUAGCAAGGUACUAAGACAGGAUUUGUACUGUUUGUUUACGUUUUUAUUGUUACUGAGUGUACUGUCCUGUG